rnacentral:lncRNA from 1 species
UCUGUCUAUGUGUACUACUAGGCGAUAUAUAAAUCAAUAAAAUCAUGCAUAUAAGCUUAUAUGUCCUAAGCGAUCUAAUUAUGCAUAGCCAUUAUAACAUGUAUAACUAUCUGUUAUGUAUAUAUAUGUGUGUGUGUAGCUACUGGGUAUUAAAGCUAAACAUGCAUAUUUAUUCCCUUUAUAGGUAUAGCGCGGCACAACCAC